CUACAUGAAGCCGGAAUCGCUAGUAAUCGCGGAUCAGAAUGCCGCGGUGAAUACGUUCCCGGGUCUUGUACACACCGCCCGUCACACCAUGGGAGUCGGGAAUGCCCGAAGUCAGUGACCCAACCCAAGGGAGGGAGCUGCCGAAGGCAGGCCUGGUGACUGGGGUGAAGUCGUAACAAGGUAUC
rnacentral:rRNA from 1 species